rnacentral:lncRNA from 1 species
AAACUUUUCCGAUGUAUCUAGAUUGGGCCUCUCUUCCCUCUAACUCUAUAUACUUUCCCAGUUUUCUCAUAAUUAAAGUUUUUUCAAUAAAUAUUAUUUUGAACGAUCCUAAUUCAGGGGGGAAAUUAGAACAGUGGCCUUUUUAAAGUAAAACAAAUGGAAGAAAAUAAAAGAACAAAAAGAAAAAAAAAACACACAAAUAGAAAAAUCAAAAUAAAA